rnacentral:rRNA from 1 species
UACGAGUGGUCCAAGCGUUAUCCGGAAUUAUUGGGCGUAAAGCGGGUGUAGGUGGCUUGGUAAGUCAGAUGUGAAAGCCCUGGGCUUAACCCAGGAAGUGCAUUUGAUACUGCUAAGCUUGAGUGCGAGAGAGGUUAAUAGAAUACCUGGUGUAGUGGUGAAAUACGUAGAUAUCAGGUGGAACACCGGAGGCGAAGGCGGUUAACUGGCUCGACACUGACACUGAGACCCGAAAGUGCGGGGAUCAAACAGG